rnacentral:rRNA from 1 species
UACGUAGGGUGCAAGCGUUGUCCGGAAUUAUUGGGCGUAAAGAGCUCGUAGGCGGUUUGUCGCGUCUGGUGUGAAAACUCAAGGCUCAACCUUGAGCUUGCAUCGGGUACGGGCAGACUAGAGUGUGGUAGGGGUGACUGGAAUUCCUGGCGUAGCGGUGGAAUGCGCAGAUAUCAGGAGGAACACCGAUGGCGAAGGCAGGUCACUGGGCCGCAACUGACGCUGAGGAGCGAAAGCAUGGGGAGCGAACAGG